AUGCAAAGAAGGGUCGCCAAAGGAGAAGUACAGAGAGAUGAUGAUGAUCCCCAGAGGGAGGGGAGGGAGUUUGUUGAGGAAGAACCAGUGGGCCAGCUCAAGAACGAGCCCAAGAAGACAGGAAAGAUGACAAAGGAACAGCUUGCAAAAUUGUGCAAGACCAUUGUCAACUUCAUUGCACAGACCACCCUGCAGAUCCUGCUGCCGGCCCUGGCCCGCAUUCUAGGGGUGACAGGCUUUUAUGACAACGCUGACUCACUCAAGAGGGGCUGCAGUGCAAGAUCCUUCACUGCCUUUGAGCAGAAAAGACUGGAGCUCAUCCAGGAAGUUAAAUAUUUGGCGAAGGAGAUGUGUAACUGUGGCGGCAGCGCUCUCCGACCAAGGUCUAGCACACCCUCUUCCAAGAGGUACUGUAUGUUCCCCAUAAUGUGUGUGUGUGUGUGCAGUUAAUCCUAACCCUCAAACUGAUGAACAAUAAUUUCUCCAUUUAAAUAUUUUCCAGCUUUCUAACAGGUGUGUUUUGCAAUAUCUAAUGCACACAUAUAAAUUGCAUUUAGAAUACUCAAUUAUAAUGCUUGUUAGAUUUGUUAGCAGUAAGAUAUCUAUUUUCCAACUUCAGACAGCAAUUAACAUACUUUGCUUGUUCAUUUAAAAGUUCCCAGACCU
rnacentral:lncRNA from 13 species